AAACGACUGCUAAUACCGCAUAAGCCCACGGCUCGGCAUCGAGCAGAGGGAAAAGGAGCAAUCCGCUUUGAGAUGGCCUCGCGCCCGAUUAGCUAGUUGGUGAGGUAACGGCCCACCAAGGCGACGAUCGGUAGCCGGACUGAGAGGUUGAACGGCCACAUUGGGACUGAGACACGGCCCAGACUCCUACGGGAGGCAGCAGUGGGGAAUAUUGCACAAUGGGGGAAACCCUGAUGCAGCGACGCCGCGUGGAGGAAGAAGGUCUUCGGAUUGUAAACUCCUGUUGUUGAGGAAGAUAAUGACGGUACUCAACAAGGAAGUGACGGCUAACUACGUGCCAGCAGCCGCGGUAAAACGUAGGUCACAAGCGUUGUCCGGAAUUACUGGGUGUAAAGGGAGCGCAGGCGGGAAGACAAGUUGGAAGUGAAAUCCAUGGGCUUAACCCAUGAACUGCUUUCAAAACUGUUUUUCUUGAGUAGUGCAGAGGUAGGCGGAAUUCCCGGUGUAGCGGUGGAAUGCGUAGAUAUCGGGAGGAACACCAGUGGCGAAGGCGGCCUACUGGGCACCAACUGACGCUGAGGCUCGAAAGUGUGGGUAGCAAACAGGAUUAGAUACCCUGGUAGUCCACACUGUAAACGAUGAUUACUAGGUGUUGGAGGAUUGACCCCUUCAGUGCCGCAGUUAACACAAUAAGUAAUCCACCUGGGGAGUACGACCGCAAGGUUGAAACUCAAAGGAAUUGACGGGGGCCCGCACAAGCAGUGGAGUAUGUGGUUUAAUUCGACGCAACGCGAAGAACCUUACCAAGUCUUGACAUCCUGCGACGCACAUAGAAAUAUGUGUUUCCUUCGGGACGCAGAGACAGGUGGUGCAUGGUUGUCGUCAGCUCGUGUCGUGAGAUGUUGGGUUAAGUCCCGCAACGAGCGCAACCCUUAUGGUCAGUUACUACGCAAGAGGACUCUGGCCAGACUGCCGUUGACAAAACGGAGGAAGGUGGGGAUGACGUCAAAUCAUCAUGCCCUUAUGACAUGGGCUACACACGUACUACAAUGGCGUUAAACAAAGAGAAGCAAGACCGCGAGGUGGAGCAAAACUCAGAAACAACGUCCCAGUUCGGACUGCAGGCUGCAGCUCGCCUGCACGAAGUCGGAAUUGCUAGUAAUCGCAGAUCAGCAUGCUGCGGUGAAUACGUUCCCGGGCCUUGUACACACCGCCCGUCACACCAUGAGAGCCGGGGGGACCCGAAGUCGGUAGUCUAACCGCAAGGAGGACGCCGCCGAGGGUAAAACUGGUGAUUGGGGUGAAGUCGAAACAAGGUA
rnacentral:rRNA from 1 species